CAGCCGCCACGGGAAUACGAAGGGUGCAAGCGUCAAUCGGAAUUACUGGGCGUAAAGCGUGCGUAGGCGGUGAGUUAAGUCUGCUGUGAAAUCCCCGGGCUCAACCUGGGAAUGGCAGUGGAUACUGGCUCGCUAGAGUGUGUCAGAGGAUGGUGGAAUUCCCGGUGUAGCGGUGAAAUGCGUAGAGAUCGGGAGGAACAUCAGUGGCGAAGGCGGCCAUCUGGGACAACACUGACGCUGAGGCACGAAAGCGUGGGGAGCAAACAGGAUUAGAUACCCCAGUAGUCCCUGUCUCUUAUAC
rnacentral:rRNA from 1 species